rnacentral:rRNA from 1 species
AACCCUUUUCCUUAUUUGCCAGCGAGUAAUGUCGGGAACUUUAAGGAUACUGCCAGUGACAAACUGGAGGAAGGCGGGGACGACGUCAAGUCAUCAUGGCCCUUACGGCCAGGGCUACACACGUGCUACAAUGGUCGGUACAAAGGGUUGCUACCUAGCGAUAGGAUGCUAAUCUCAAAAAGCCGAUCGUAGUCCGGAUUGGAGUCUGCAACUCGACUCCAUGAAGUCGGAAUCGCUAGUAAUCGCGGAUCAGAAUGCCGCGGUGAAUACGUUCCCGGGCCUUGUACACACCGCCCGUCACACCAUGGGAGUUUGUUGCACCAGAAGUAGCUAGCCUAACUGCAAAGAGGGCGGUUACCACGGUGUGGCCGAUGACUGGGGUGAAGUCGUAACAAGGU